rnacentral:tRNA from 1 species
GUCCGACUAGCUCAGUCAGUAGAGCAUGAGACUCUUAGUCUCAGGGUCGUGGGUUCGAGUCCCACGUCGGGCG